GCCGCGGAUGCUGCCACAGAGGAUAAGGCGCUAAAGACACUUGUGGAGCACACUUUCCCCCUCGGGCGGCGCAACGUUGGCUGCCACCGCAGGAGGCAUUUCAUCAUGCGAGACCGAAGACCGUGCGAAUGCUGCAGAAUGUCACCGCAUUUCAAGCGCAAAAUCAGCCGGACAGCAAUGACCCCGAUGCUCCGGCAUCUUAAUUAGAGGGGAAAGGGGGAUUGUUUAGUGUGAGCAAAAGAGAAAGAGAGAGGGGGGAGGGCAGAGAGGAAGAUACAUGCACGUUUAUAACAAGGUGACAAGGAGACAAACACACGAGUACUGAAUAACACCUUCAAAGCCCAAUGCAAAUCUCUACUGACAUCAAGGCGUCUAUAGUUACACCGCAAGAAGCCAGGUUUGAGCCCCAUGUGCUUCAUGGUAUAAUGCAAGGCUGGCUAAUUACGCUACUGCUCGCUGUUUUCAUGAUACAGCGAAGCGGUUCCCAACCCGGCCCUCAAGGACUGCUAGCCGAUCCAUAUUUUUGUGCUGCUGCAGCUUUCAACACCACAGAGCCAGAUCAUCAGCUUUAUCCGGUUCAGCCGUGUGGGGAAUACAACAGAAAUGUGGACCUCCAUGCUGUCCUCCUGGACUUAGUUGAAAACCUCCGACAUAAUAAGUAAUACCACGGAGUCAUUAAUCUCCAGCAUGAUCCCAUAACCAUGUGGACUGAAAUAACACAGCGCUGUGGCCUGAUAACCCCAGCAAUUGAGAAAACACUGUACCUAUGUCAACAGUGCUGUAGCCCAGGGGUUCUCAACAGCUCCAGGCCUUAGGGCCCCACUGCCCUACACGUUUUUAAGUAUUCUUUGACACAACACAUCUUAUCCAGCUAAUCUGAUAGUGACGAAGCCCCUUAUGGGCUGCUGUGGCAGGGGACAGUCCUGUCCAAUGACUGUGGUUCUGUAGCUGUGCAUCUAAGCUGAAUAAGGUAGGCUAAAUCCACACAAGGGUUACCUAUUAAUGAACACUAUAGAAAGAUAAGUGAGAACGCAUUGACCAAGUGAAUGUCAUUUCUUGUUGUGAUAGUAAAACUAUUCAUACUGUAACAUAUCGUGUUAUAUCUGAUUCUGUAAUAAACCUUAAUAAACCCGUGUUGUGCUCCA